rnacentral:lncRNA from 1 species
CCUUCUCUCUUCAAGGCCUACACUUUUUCUCUCUAAAAAUUUUACUUUCUCUCUAGACUAAUUCUCUCUCUUGAUAGAUUUCUCUUUUUAGAAGUCAUCUCUUUAAGAUUAGCUAGUAAAGAAAUUUGUUUUAAUGAUUCUGAUCCGAUUCUAAUAAAGAGAGUCUUGAUCCACGAUCACUAAGCAGUGCACCGCAACCCAUCUUGGCCAAAUUUAGGUACCAUUAGAUUUGAUUACCUAUGAUUUAUUUUGAAUCAUCUAUAAACUAAUUCAAUUAUGAUUUGAUUAAAUCAUCUUGAUUACAUCAAUUGG